AAUAGAUGAUGCCGUUGACUUUUUCUCACAUGUUUGACCAUUCGUCUUAUUUAAAAAAUUUAUGUAAUUAUAAUUUAUUUUAUCAUGAGUUGUUUUAUCAAUCAUAGUAUUUUAAGUGUGAUUUAAUUACGUAAAUUUUUUGAAUAAGACGAAUGGUCAAACAUGUGAGAAAAAGUCAACGGCGUCAUCUAUU
rfam:Oryza nivara chromosome 1, whole genome shotgun sequence.